UGCUACGGAUGCUGUAGAUGAUAUGG
rnacentral:piRNA from 1 species